rnacentral:lncRNA from 1 species
UAGUGGUGCUGUUGGUUGCAAUCUCAUGGUCUCUUUAACCACAGCUUUAAGGUAAGGCAAUUGUUGAACAUCAUCUUCGUACACAAAACCUUUAUCUCCUAUCACCUUUCGAACUUCUUCUUGAGCUUUUCUCAUUGCUUCAGGGUUUUUCAUUAGAAGGCUCAUGGCCCAGAUCACAGUAGCAGCAGCUGUUUCAGUCCCACCAAGAAAUAUGUUCUGCAAGGAUCAGGAAAAUAAAAUAAAAUGUAAGGAUGAUAUUUGAAACCAUUUACAAUAUUCAAAUCCAAAUCAUUUUGCUUGGGAAAUGAAAAUUAAAAGGCCGAAUUUGAGUCGAACUUAGAUUACCAUUAGAAUUGCUUUGAUGUGAUCAAGCGUUAGUUGAACUUUAAAAGUGCGAUCCUUGUAUAUUUGAAUCAAAACGUCAAGUAUGUCCUCAUGGUCGGGCUUUGGUCGCUCUGGAUCAAGAUGUUCAUCAAUGAUUUCUUGGUAGAAAACAUCAAACUCUCUGAAAUUUUUUUCAAGACGAUGGGCGAGUCCCGUGAGUCUAUCAACCCAUCCCAUGUAUGGAAAAUAAUCAGAAAGAUAAAACAUCGUAAACAGGGCUUGAGUUUCAUUAAGCAACGCAUGGAACCUACUUCCUUGAAUUCCUCCAUCCUCGUACCUUUUUCCAAAGGCAGUUCUGCAUAUGGCUGUGCUUGUAAGAGACAGCAUUGCUUCAGUCAAGUUGAAGGGUUUAGAAGCAAGAGCUGCUUUGGAAAUUUUUUCAAUCAUAUGCGAUACCUCAUCUUCUCUGUUGGUACGAAAACUUUGCACUCGUGUCGAGUUGAGGAGAUGAACGACACAUAUUUUUUUCAUCUCCCUCCAAUAAGCACCAUAUGGUGAAAAGGCCAAGUCUAAACCAUUGUAGGAAAAUUUUUGCUGGCCAGUCAAGAGCGGCCUGCUACAAAAUUCAAGAUCAUGGGUUUUCAGUACCUCUUCAGCCAUUUUGGCUGAAGAGAUGACGAGGGUUCGCUUGAAACCUAGCUUUAAGGACAUGAGGGGGCCAUAUUUUUGAGAUAGUUUCCAUAAAUGCGUUUGAAGGUUUGAGCUAUCAAGCUGGUGCAAGUUACCUAUCAAGGGAAGACCGUUGGGGCCAGGAGGGAAACGAGCUCUUUUAGAGAUUUUGUUUUUCUUGAGAAGAAACAAGAAAAUGAUGGAGAGGAAGAGAAUUACGAAUAGGAGUAAUGUCAUUAUGAUCUGAGUAUUUUUGAGCUGUGAAUUCUGCGAUACAAGCUUCAAUUAUAUAGAGAGUGUUUGCGGGUGAGUGUAUUUUUUAUUUAAAAAUAUAUUGAAAUAAUUUUUAUUUUUAUUUUUAAUAACUACGUCAAAAUGAUUAAAAAAUAUAAAAAAAAUUAAUUUAAAAUUUUUUCAAAAAAAUUUAUAAAUUUAAAAAAACAGAGUCCAGUUGCACUCCUACACGUACAGUGCAAUAUAGACAAAAAAGAAUAUUUAUGGAAAUAGAUUUCUAUCAUAUUAACUUUGAUUUCGAGCAUUUUAUUUGUGUAUAUGCACCAAUUUAAUUGAAAAUAUUUACUUCAUGUUUUGACUUGAAGUUUUUCCUCAGCAAUUAUAAUAACAAUAGCCCGUGUUCGAAAUUGAUCCAUAUAUCACAUGAUUAUUGCGUAUUUGAUGAGCAUUUUCUAGGGCUGUUCAAUAAACUCAUAAUGAAUGUCUGCCGUCUAGAUUUGAUUAUUGCGUAUAUAGAAAUCUUGCAUUCAAACCUAUUGCCUUUUAUUAUACCAAGAGAACGAUACUACGACAUACUAAGGUUUUCAAUUCCAGCCCGUUUCGUUUGAAAUAGCCGGUUAUAAUGCAUGUUCAGAUGCGACUUUUCAUCCCAAUCAAGGACAUACAAAAUGAAUUAAUUUUCUCCCUCAAUAAAAACUUGCGUGGGAAUUUUCAUGGGGCCAUUAAACUAGAAAUGGUGUAUAAUAAUUCAAUACAUUUUAGUGCGUGUAAUUUAUGAUCUGACGGCAUGAAUUAUUAAUUAUUAUUAUUAUUAAAGAAAAUUAAAACUUUGGAGAGAAUACUAUAGCUUUUUUUUUAAUGAAACACUAUGGAUUAUAAUGGAUCUUUUUGUCUUUUUGGAUAUGUUAAUGAUAAAUUAUUUUUAUAUGAACUUGUCAAUGUCUAAUGUCUGUAUAAAUUAUCUCUAUAUAAUCUUGUCAAUGUUAAAUUAUCAUCAUGUAAUCUUGUCAAGGUCCAGUAUUCGUGUAAGUUAUUUUGUCCCAUGUUGAAUUAUAGCAUCAAUCCUCAAAUCUCGAGUCACUCGGCGUUCCAAUCUAGAAAAACAGGAUUGGGCGUGCUAGGCUGUGUAUUUGUAUUUGUAUGUUUUAAAAAUAUUUUUAUCUUUUUAUUUAUAUUAAAUUAAUAUUGUUUUGAUAAUUUUAAAUCGUUUCGAUAUACUAUUAUUAAAAAUAAAAUUUAAAAAAUUUAAAAAUUAUUAUUUUGAUAUAUUUUUAAAACAAAAAAUAUUUUAAAAAAUAAUCACUAAAAUAUCAAGCUUUAUCUUACAUACUAGAGCUAACAUAUCAAGCCUUUUUUCCUUCUUCUCGAUGCCAUCCAAAGAUUGUGAGGGCGACCCCUCUCCGAUCACCGCCGCUGGACAUGUGCCAGACAUUCCACACACCAGGACUGUAUUCGUGGUGCACAAUCCAACCCACCCACGUGCCUCCUACACUUAAAAAGACUAAAAAAUACUGAGUAUAUUUGAAUACGCUGAUGUUUUUUAAAAUUUUGAAUUUUUUUAUUUAAAUUUAAUUUUUUUAAUGUUUUUAGAUUGUUUUAAUAUAUUGGUGUAAAAAUAAUAUUAAAAAAAUAAAAAAAUAUUAUUUUAAUAUAUUUUUAAACAAAAAAAAAAAAAAUUUUAACCAUGAAAUUUUCAAACAAAUACUUUAACAUGGACUCCAGCGUCUUUGACAAGGAAAAGAAAAUUUUCUGGUCGUACUGGAGAAGUUUCCUACCUUAGGGUCAUGAUGUUCAAAUAAUAAUAAUAAUAAUAAUAAUAAUAAAACUAUAAGGGUGAUUUGUUUACUUCAACAGAUUGAGUUACGAAGAGACAGGAAUGCAUUACUAUCAAUGUAAAUGAUCGACGAGGAGGAAAAGGAGGAUGAAUGUCCAAAUCAAAUUGGAAAUGGAAUAUCGCAUGAAUAUAUUUAAUGGAUUUGCCCUAAAUUUGGUGAACAAGGCUUAAUAAUUUUCUAUGAUGUUUUUUUUUUGUUUUCAUUUUCAAGUUUGGUAGAAUAGAAUUGUAAGAACAUUUAUGACUUUAUACUAUUAGUUUCAUGUUGAAUUUCUAUUUAAAUGGGAUGUUGGGAUUGUAUUCAAUUUGGACUUACGGUUCUUCUCUCUUCGAUGAGUCGAUGGAAUUGAGUGCUUAUGAGUUUAUUUAAUUUGAUGAAAUGAAUUGAUACUUUUAAAAGUAAUUUUGAAUUUUUAAAAAUUAUGUUUCAAUUUAUAUUAUGUUUCAAUUUAUCAUUUGUAGCCAAUAAUCGCCACCAGAAAAUUAACGAAUACAAACAGAAACAUCAAGAGACUAUAUCCAUUAAUAAACAUUGAUAUAAAUAUUCUCUCAGGAUAUGCCGAAGGAAUUACAUUAAGAGACAGCAUUCCUUCAGUCAAGUUGAAGGGUUUAGAAGCAAGAGCUGCUUUGGAAAUUUUUUCAAUCAUAUGCGAUACCUCAUCUUCUCUGUUGGUACGAAAACUUAAUUUGCACUCGUGUCGAGUUGAGGAGAUGAACGACACAUAUUUUUUUCAUCUCCCUCCAAUAAGCACCAUAUGGUGAAAAGGCCACGUCUAAACCAUUGUAGGAAAAUUUUUGCUGGCCAGUCAAGAGAGGCCUGCUACAAAAUUCAAGAUCAUGGGUUUUCAGUACCUCUUCAGCCAUUUUGGCUGAAGAGACGACGAGGGUUCGCUUGAAACCUAGCUUUAAGGACAUGAGGGGGCCAUAUUUUUGAGAUAGUUUCCAUAAUUGCGUUUGAAGGUUUGAGCUAUCAAGCUGGUGCAAGUUACCUAUCAAGGGAAGACCGUUGGGGCCAGGAGGGAAACAAGCUCUUUUAGAGAUUUUGUUUUUCUUGAGAAGAAACAAGAAAAUGAUGGAGAGGAAGAGAAUUACGAAUAUGAUUAAUGCCAUUAUGAUCUGAGUAUUUUUGAGCUGUGAAUUCUGCGAUACAAGCUUCAAUUAUAUAGAGAGUGUUUGCGGGUGAGUGUAUUUUUUAUUUAAAAAUAUAUUAAAAUAAUUUUACUUCAUGUUUGUGUAUAUGUACCAAUUUAAUUGAAAAUAUUUACUUCAUGUUUUGACUUGAAAUUUUUCCUCAGCAAUUAUAAUAUAACAAUAGCCCGUGUUCGAAAUUGAUCCAUAUAUAACAUGAUUAUUGCGUAUUUGAUGAGCCUUGAGCAUUUUCUAAGGCUGUUCAAUAAACUCAUAAUGAAUGUCUGCCGUCUAGAUUUGAUACUAUAAAGAAAUCUUGCAUGCAAACCUAUUGCCUUUUAUUAUACCAAGAGAACGAUACUACUACAUACUAAGGUUUCCAAUUCCAGCCCGUUUCGUUUGAUAGUUAAAAAAACAAAAUAAAUUAGAAUAAAUUUUAUCUUGUUUAAAAUCUUGGUUUAUUCCAUAAAUUCUGUUCAAAUUCCGGUUAUUUCUGUCUCGACCAAUCAUUCUAGCCAAAUAAUGUGUGUUUUUUUUUUGUUUUUUUCAAUCUUAUCUAUCAAUCCGAUCGUUGAAUUAGAUUGAAAUUUUACAAGGAGCUACUAAUAUAUUUUUAUAUCUCAUGUUAAAAUAUUAGAAUAAUAAAAAAUUAGAAAGGCCUUGUAAGAUUGCCGAUGGUGUUUUCAUAAUUUUAUUUAAAUUUGUAAUUUUGUUUCGAAAGGUUACUUUUGUGUUUUUUUUUUAGAUUUGAUUUUUUCCAAUUUCAUCGUUCAACAAUAAGUUUAUUGAGAAUUGAACUUUAUAUUUUAUUUUGAUUUGCUUUAUUUGGGGUUAUUAUGAUCUCAUGAUGUAAGUCAUAAAUUUAAAAGGUUAACCCAGAUUGACCCGAGUAAAUACAAUAUGUUCUCGUCUCAAUAUUUAUUUUUUAAAAUGUCAUCUUAAUUUUUUUUAAUUAAACUAUAUUUUUAUCAGUCAUCUAAGUUAUCUUUGAACUUAUUAAAUUGAUCAGGUCAUAUCGGUUCAACUCUCAUUUUUUUGAAUCAGUUCAACAGAAUCUUAAGAAAUAUUUGUUGGAAUUAAUUUUGAAGUUUUCUUUCAAAGUGUUUUUUAGUUUUUUUAGUUAUAUGCAUGUAACUAUUAAAGAUAUAUUUAUUUUUAAAAUCUCUUAAAUUAUCCUGAACUAAUAUGAAUAUAUGUCUAGAAUAUUAUAAGUUUAAAUUAAAAGCUAUAAAGAUUUCUUCUCUUAUAAAAGUAAUGUAAGAGAUUUGUUUUUCAUCAUGUUCCCAUGUUUUCAUUUUUACUUUUCUCCUUCAAAUAUUUCUAACAGUAUUCAGUAACUCCCAAAGCGUCAACACUGAAUUCAAAGCUCUCAUAGCUUAUUUUCAUGCAUCCAAAUUAAAUGAGAGAUCUCCAAUGUAGCUCUAGUAGUUCAUCCCAGCACAAACAUCAUUGCAUCAACGACAUACAAGACUAUAACAAAAAGAAUCCCCCGGCUGUCUAGAGGUGGCCAUGGGCUGUUCAAUAAAGAUAUAUUUAUUUUUAAAAUCUAUUAAAUUAUCCUGAACUAAUAUGAAUAUAUGUUAGAAAAGGUUUCUCUGUUUCUUAGGAAAACAACGUGAAUAUACAGCAAUACUUUCUGCAAAGGCCGCUAGUUAUUAUAUAGCAAUGCAGGUUGCUUAAUUUGGAUACAUUAAAUAGCCUAAUUCUCAGCUGAUUUGUUUCCAUAGCCAGCCAACUUCUCUUUCUGUUUUUGUCUUGUCCUCCAAUCUAAUCUUCAUUGUUGCUGCAGUUGAUUUGUUUCUAUAAUCAACCAAUGUCUUAACGUCUCUUCCUAUUUUUAUUUUGUUAUCAUGGGAGUGAUUUGUUUCCAUGUUGCUGGUUUAAUUUGAUCUGCUCCAUCUGCAUCUGUCUUAUUACCAUUAAUAAGUUUACGUGAAUGCUUGGGCUGUUGGAAGGGACCCGGAAGGCUGGGAGAACCCAUAUGAGUUCAAUCCUGAUAGAUUCUUGGGCAGUUCUAUUGAUCUGAAAGGAAAAAAAAAAAAAAAAAUUCAAAUGCCAUCUGUGGUGAAUAGGGAAGAUAUAGACAUUGAUGAUGUGCUCGUCAAGAAAAAAAGAAAAUUCAAAUUCUUUUAAGAAAAUUAUGUGGUUGAUGAUUUAACUUUUGGUGUUCAAACUUCUCACCAUCAUUUUCAACCACACUAAACCACCAAUCAUCCACCAUGCGUUGUUCUUUAAAGUCAACAUUUUGAACAGAAAAACCACCAAUCAUCUUGUCCAAAACAAAAAUGCCCCGCUCAGCAAGAGCAUAGAUCCAAAACCUGACAUCUUGAUCUCGAGAAGCUGAAAGAUAAAUGGAUAUGAACAAGUUUGAUCCUCGAGUCGCAGGGCACUCUUGUAUUCUGCAUAGAUCCAAAACCUGACAUCUAGUCGCCAGUCUUUUAACAUCAACUUUGGUCCAAAUUCAAAGUACGUUUUUCUUGUAGCUGUCAAGUAUAUAUCCAAAUUCAACUUUGCUCUUGAAUUUUUUAUUUGAUUACGUGGCAAUAAAAAAGGAUUUUUGUAAAAAAAUAAUAAUUUAAAUAUUAUAAAAAAAUGUGAUAUGUCAGUAUGAAUUCUCUUUUCCUUAUUAAUGCAUUUUCUUUUCAAAAAAAAAAAAUUGUUUUUGGCAAUUUUGUUUAUUGCAUAAAAAACUAAAAUCAAUAAAAAUCAAUAUAAAAAAAAUAACUAUUAAGAAUAAGGAAAAAAAGGUAACCAUUUCUUAAAAAACCUUGUACCUUAUUAACGCAUUUCUUUCCUUUCGUUCUCAUUUUUUUUUAAUCAUAUGUAUUGUUUUUAAACAAGACCUUAUCGUAAUAAGAAAUUAAAAAAAUAAUGAAUUAAUAGUUUUAAUGUGGAUAUAUUAAAAACAUAUAAGAAUAAUAAACUUGAAAAAAAAUUACAAUAUACCUUUUUUUAGCCAUGUAGCUUAUUGCAUUAAAACUAAAAGCAAUUAAAAAUAAAUAUCUAAAAAAAAUUAAGAUUUGAAAUAAAAUAAAAAAAGUUUCUCUUUAAUCAAAACCCUUUUCCUAAAGCAUUCUUCUUCUUUUGAUAAAUUUUUUUUUUUAUCAAAAGCAUUGUUCUUUAAAUAAAAACAUCAUAAUCCUAAAAGCAAGUUUUAUUAAAACAAAACUAGAAAAAAUAAUGAAUUGAUAAAUUUGACACUAAUGUAUUGAAAAUAUAAUAAUACUAAUUUUGAAAAAGAAAUAUAUAAAAACUUACAAUAACAAAAUAAAAAAAUAUAAAUAUUUGAUUCACAUUAAUUAUUCAAGGUUCAUUUAUAAUUAUUUCGAAAAUAAUUGUUAAUAUUAUUGUAAAAGAUAUUAAUAUUAUUUUAAAAAUAAUAGCAUAAUUGAAUAAUUAUGUAAAUAUUAUUUUAAUAAAUUUAUUUAUUAAAUGAAAAAAAAAUCAAGUAAAAAACUUAAAGAGACAUGAGCAUAGGUGCUUAAAAUUUGGGCCCACAUGCCUAACAACAUUUAAAGUCUAGGUUUUUUUUUUAAAGAAAUAAAAAUGGAAUGUACUAUUUUUUUUAAAUAAAUAAAUGGGCAAUGAGUUGCCAAUAUGAGUAAACAACGCGUCGUCCAUUUAUAACUAGAAAAUUAGGGUCAAAGUCUUUAGACCAAAAAAUCUAGAUUUCAAUCAUUUUUCAUCAAAAUAUAAUCACAUGAACCUCUAAAACUCCAUUUCUAAUAACAAGAUAUAUUUUAAUUGGUCUAAAAACUCAUAAUUCCUAAAAUAUAUCAAAAAAUAAUAUUUAUCCAUAAAAUAGAAAGUAAAUUAUGUAUUUCUAAAUUAGAAAGUACAAAGAGGAUAUGUCUCUAAAAAUAUAUUUUUUUAUUUUUAUUCCUAAAAUAUUCUUGUAAAAAAAUCAUAAUUGCAAAAUCAUUCAACUAAGCUUUGAAGGAAUAAAAAUGGUUAUUAUCAUAGUUUUAAAACUCAAUUGGGUCACAGGUAAAAAGGUUGACCCUAAUCUUUUUUAAGCAAAAUAGAUUGCGGGUUGACUAGGGUUUUUGAUCGGUUCAAACUAGGUCAAUCCAUCCUAUUUUUUAAAAAACUCAUAUCAGUUCAAGCCUUAUGUAGACAACAAAAUAAAUAUUAAGAUGUUCAUAUUAUAAAAAAAGCUAAAUUAUGUGGGAAAAACACUAUGACUUUCCUCACAAAACAUUAUUGAUUGCUAUAAUGUUUCCCCACAUUGUUUUUUUUACACAUGUUUUUUUAUGAUUUUUUUCAAAAUUAUUUUUGUCGAUUUCAUUUUUUAAUACUGAAAUGGUUGAGAAUUUAAUUUUGUAUUUUUUCCUUUUAUUUUAUCUAUCUAUGUGGUUAGCGAGAUUAGUGUGGUUUGCGGAUUUGUAGUCAAGGUAAUCCAGAUUGCUCCAGUUUAUGGAUGUGGUGUGUAUUUUUUUUUUAUGAUGUGGGGAAAGCACUGUAGCUUUCCUCACAAAACAUUGUGGAUUGCUACAGUGUUUCCCUAUAUUAUUAUUUUUUACACGGUUUUUUAUGUUUUUUUUUGUUAUGAUUUUUUUCAAAAUUACUUUUGUCGAUUUUGUUUUUUUUUUAAUAUUAAGAUGGUUGAAAUUUUAGAUUUGUAAUUUUUUUCUUUUUAUUUUGUCUUUCUAUGACGUUAGCGUAGUUUGCGGGUUUGUCGAGGUAACUCAGGUUGCCUCAGUUUAUGGAUGUGGUAUUUUUUUUUAAUUGAACUUGACCUUUUUUAUAAUCUAUUUUUUUCUCAUAUUAUUAAAAAAGUAGUUUUAAAGAAAAAACAUGUUAUUAAACUUUAUGAAAUAAAAAAAAUUAAAACUCAUUGCACUGUGGAUUAUAAUAGUAAUCCAUAGUGUUUUGCUUUCAUUUUCUUUCUCUUUUUUUCUUUUGAUUUUUUUGUUAUGAUUUGUUUUCAAAUGUAUUUUUGUCGAUUUCAUUUUUUUAAAUUGAGAUUGAUGAGAAUUUAACUUUGUAAUUUGUUUUUUUUUUUUGACAUUAUAUGAGGUUAACAUGGUUUACAUGUUUGCCAAGGUAACCCAAGUUGCCCCGUCCUACGAGUUUGGUGGGUUGUUUUUUUAAUUGAACUUGAUUUUUUUUAUAGUCUAUUUUUUCUCAUAUAGUUAAAAAAUAAUUUUAGAGAAAAGUCAUGUUAUUAAAUUUAUAAAGUAAAAAAAAUUAAAAGGUGUGAGAAAACCAUUGUUGACCCAUAUAUAUUGCACUGUGAAUGACAAUGGUAAUCCACAAUGUUUUACUUUCUUUCUUUUUUCUUUUUGUUAUGAUUUUUUUUCAAAUUUGUUUUGUCGAUUUCAUCUUUUAAUAUUGAGAUGAUUGAGAAUUUAACUUUAAAAUUUAUUUCCUUUUAUUUUACCUUUCUAUAAAGUUAGCAUGGUUUGCAAGUUUACCAGCGUAACUCGGGUUGCCCUGAUUUACGAGUAUGGUGGAGUGUUUUUUUAACUAAACUUGACUUUUUAAUCGCCUAUUUUUUUCUCAUAUAGUUAAAAUAAAUAGUUUCAAAAAAAGUUGCAAACCAUGCUAUUGGGUUAAUUGGAAAUUCAGUUUCAGAAUUAGUUUUGUUUGCCUUUUAUGGGGUUAUAGUGAUCUAAAAACAAUCUCGGUAUUAAGUUGGUGUUUGAUUUUACAAUCAUUUACUUUUGUUAUCAUAUAGUUAAAUAAAAAAUAGAUUGAAAAAAACAAAUUAUUAUUUAAGUGGAGUCUAUAACUCAGUUCACAGGUUUAGCGUACUAGCUCGGCUUACCCAAUUCACAGGUUUGACGAGAUUACCCACCGAUGGGAUAUUCUUUUAUUUAUUUAUUUCAUCAUUUAACAUUUGAUUGGUUAAAAAUAUACUACAUUAUUAAUUUUUGUUUGCUUUCAAGGGAUGAUUGUCUCAAAUAAGUUUCUUUUUUAGGUUAGUGCUCAAUUUUAUGAGCAUUUGUUUUUAUCAUACAAUUAAAUAGAAACAAUUAUGAAAAAAAGUUAUUAAACCCAAUAAAGUACAUGACCUGGGUUGCGGAGGGUCGAGAUUGAUCAUUAUCUCAAUAUUUUAAAAAAAAUUAUCAUCCUGAAGUUUUUUUAAAAGCUAAGUCAUGUUUUUAUCGAUCAUCAAGAUUGCAUUUAGACCUAUGAAAUCGAUUGAUUUAAGACGAGCUAGCUUUCAUACGGUUUAAUUAAAAACUUGAGUUAGACAAAGAGUUGAGUCGGGAGGUUUUAAAAUUACCCAUUUGAUCAAGUUUAAUAAUACUAUUAAAAAAUUAUCCAUGGUCUUAAUAUUUUUUUUUAUUUUAAAAAAAAUCGAUCCAACCCGUGAUAGAGUGCGGGAUAAUAUUAACUAAUAUACUAAACCGUGUGGGGGAUUUACUGUUCCCCCACACACAAAACACUGUGGAUUACAACAGUAAUCCACAGUGAUUCUUCUCCCUGUUUGUUUUUUAUUUAUUUUUUUUAUUUUAGAUUUUUAGCUUUUUAGCUUUUCCCUUUUUUUUUUUUUUUCAAAUUUUUUUUUCAGCUUUCUUAUUUUUUUUUCAUUUAUUUUUUUUUCAAAAUUAUUUUUGUUGAUUUUACCUUUUAAAUAUUAACCUGGUUAAAAUUUUUGCUUUAUAAUUUUUUUCUUUAAAAUACUGUGGAUUGCUGUGAUGUUUUUCCACUUAGUUUUUCUAUUUUAUUUCUUUAUUUUUCAAAAUUAUUAACUAAUAUACUAAACCGUGUGGGGGAUUUACUGUUCCCCCACACACAAAACACUGUGGAUUACAACAGUAAUCCACCGUGAUUCUUCUCCCUGUUUGUUAUUUUUUUUUUAAAAAGCUUUUCCCUUUUUUUUUGUUUUUUUUUCAAAAUUUUUUUUAAGCUUUCUUUUUUUUUUCAUUUAUUUUUUUUCCAAAAAUUUUUUUGUUGAUUUUACCUUUUAAAUAUUAACCUGGUUAAAAUUUUUGCUUUAUAAUUUUUUUCUUUAAAAUACUGUGGAUUGCUGUGAUGUUUUUCCACUUAGUUUUUCUAUUUUAUUUCUUUAUUUUUCAAAAUUAUAUUUUUCGAUUUUUUUAUAAUAUUGAGCUGAUUGAGAAUUUGGUUAUGUAAUUUUUUUUCUUUAAAACAUUGUUGAUUGCUACAGUGUUUCUCCGCAUGAUUUUUUUCUCUCCAAAAUUAUCUUUUUUUUUUAUUUUAUUUUUUAAUAUUAAGCUGGUUAAAAAUUACAGUUACAAUAUGUAAGGAAAACACAUGGUUUUUUGUAUAAUUUUUUUCAAAUUAUCCCUUUCAAUUUUAUUUUUUUAAUAUUAAGUUGUUUGUGAGUUACAAUUACAAAUCAUUACAAAUAAGGCUAAAUCAUGUGGGGAAGCACUGUAGCUUUCAUCACAAAACACUGUGAAUUGCUACAGUAUUUCCAACAUGAUUUUUUUUUUCCUUUUUUUGGUGUUUGUUUUGUUAUUUUUUUUCUAAAAUUGUCUCUGUCAAUUUUGUUUUUAAUAUUGAGCUGAUUAAGAAUUUAGCUUUAUAAUUUUUUUCUUUAAAACACUGUGAAUUGUUGCAGUGUUUUUCCAUGUGAUUUUUUUAUGAUUUUUUUCAAAAUUAUCUUUGUCGAUUUUUUUAAAAUAUUGAGUUGGUUAAGAAUUAUAAUUACAAUAAAACUAAAUCCUAUGAGGAAAGCGUUGUAUUUUUUCUCACAAAACACUGUGGAUUGCUACAAUAUUUCUCUAAAUGGUUUUUUAUUUUAUUUUAUUGGGAAAAGCGUUAUAGUUUUCCUCACAAAACAUUGUCAAUUGCCACAACGUUUUUUCUCAUGGGUUUUUUUCCUUCCAAAAUUAUCUUGGGUUUUUUUUUAAUAUUAAGUUGGUUGAGAAUUUAGCUUUGUAAUUUUUUUUUCUUUUUAUUAACUGAAAAGCUAAAUCAUGUGGCGAAAGCACUGUAUCUUUCCUCACAAAACACUGUAAAUUACCACAAAUCAUUUUGUUCAGUCUCUAAGUUUUGGAUCACCAACACAACUUUUUUUUUCGUCAUGAAAUAUUUGCUCCAUCAUACCUUUAAUUUCUAUUACUGAUCUAGCGCUGGUUUACAAUUAUAACACUAUCAAAUGCAUUUGUUUUAUAAGCCCGCGGCAGCGCGCGGGCAUGUCAUCUCGUUAGUAUAUUAAGACACAAAAAGCAGUCUGAUAUGGACUCUUGUACUUGGCCCUAUUUGUUUUUACGUUUCAAAUUUUUUUUUAUUUUUUUCUUUGCUUCAAAGAAAAAUGAUUUUAAAAAAUAAAAAAACUUUAUUUUGAUGUAUUUCUAAGCAAAAAACACUUUAAAAAGCAACUGCUACCACACUCUUAAAUACCCUCUACAGGGAUAAUGACCUCACCAUUUCCUCACAUGUUUUUCUCUUGUUACAGAUUAGUUGAUGUGGUGGUUUGAGGUAGAACAACUCACAGGUCUAUUUAUAACUUUUUAUUAUACUAUAUUUUAAAACGUGAGGAAAAAUCAUUGUGCUACUACUGUCUAUAUAGAGUAUUUGCAUUGUGAACUACACUGUAUAUAUAGAGUGUUUGUACUGUGGACCACAUUGUAGAUGUUCAGAGGACCAUGAGGACAUUGUCCUUUCUAUUUUUUUAUUUCAAAAGUUGCUGGCAUGUGUUAGGUCAAGAUAUGGCUGCCAGACCCAGGGUUAUUAGGCCUGCAUGGUCGUCAUACCCAUUAAAAAAAACAAAUUAUAAAAAAAAUUAGGAUUUCUGUUUAGAAUAUUUCAAGAGUAGUUUAAUUUUUUUUAAGACAUUUAAGACAUUUCAAGGGUAGUUUAAAUGUUUUUUUUAAUAAAAAAUAAAGAAAUUAUAAAACAAAUUAAUUAGCAUUUCUGUUUAGGAUAUUUCAAGGGUAGUUUAAAUAUUUGUUAUUAUAAGAAAUAUAAAUAAUUUAUAAAAAACAUUAUUUAGGAUACUUCAAAGGUAGUUAAAAUGUUUUUAAAAAAAUUAAUUAACAUUUCUGUUUAGGUUACUCCAAGGGUAGUUUAAUUGUAUUUUUUAUAAAAAAUAGAAAAGAAAUUAUAAAAAAUAUUAAUUAGCAUUUCUAUUUAGGAUACUUAAAAUGCAGUUUAAAUGUUUUCUUCGUAAAAAAUAGAAAUUAUUUAUAAAAUAAAUUAUUUAGGAUACUUCAAGGAUAGUUUUAAUUUUUUUUAUAGAAAAAUUAAAAACAAUUAUUAAAUAAAUUAAUUAGUAUUUCUAUUUAUGAUAGUUCAAGAGUAGUUUAAAUUUUUUUAUAAAAAUAAAAAUUAAUUAUAUAAAACAUUAAUUAACAUUUCAAUUUAGGAUACUUCAAGGUUAGUUUAAAUAGUUUUUUUAUAACAAAUAAAAAGCAUUAUAAAAAAAUUAAUUAGUAUUUUUGUUUAGGAUACUUUAAAUAUUUUUUUUCUAAAAACAAUUAUAAAAAUAUUAAUUAGGAUUUCUAUUUAGGAUAUUUUAAGGGUAGUUUAAAUGGUUUUUUUCUAAAAAUAAAUAAAAAAAAAAUUAAUUAACAUUUCUAUUUAGGCUACUUAAAGGGUAGUUUAAAUAUUUUUUCUUAUAAAAAAUAGAAAAACUUUAUAAAAAGCAUUAUUUAGGAUACUUCAAGGGUAAAUUAAAUAUUUUUUUAUAAAAAAUAAUAAAUUUAUUUUAACAAAUUAAUUAGGAUUUUUGUUUAGAAUAUUUUAAAGGUAGUUUAAAUGCUAUUGUUUUUAUAAAAAAUAGAAACAAUUAUAUAUAAAAAAAUUAAUUAGUUUUUCUAUUGAGAAUACUUUAAGGUAGUUUAAAUGUUUUUUUAAAUAGAAAAAAAUUAUAAAAAAACUAUUUAGAAUUCUUCAAUAGUAGUUUAAAUGUUUUUUUUUAAUAAAAAAUAGAAAAUAGUUAUAAAAAAUUAUUUAGGAUACUUUAAUGAUAGUUUUAAUGUUUUUUAAUAAAAAAAAUAAAAUAAAAAAAUAAAAUUUAUUAAUUAGGAUUUCUGUUUAGGAUACUUCAACGGUAGUUUAAAUAUACCCACGUUGCUGGGUUCAUUUUGGGUGUUCUUUGGGUUCUUUAUUUUUUUUUUGAUCUGUUUUGUUUAAAUUUUUUUGAAUAUUUAUGUUUUUUGUUGUGUUUAAUCUCUUUUUUUUUUGCUUUAAUUUUGUUUUUGGGUUGUUUUCGGAUCAAACUAGAAUUUUGGUUCGCUUUAUGGUCGAGUUAAAUUUUCGGGUUGACUCAAUCAGGUCAGGUAAAAAAAUGGAUCAAAGGGUUUAAUACCCUAUUUGGCUUGCCAUAAUUUUUGUUAAAGGGUUAUUGGGUUUAAGAGUAUGUUUGGUAAACACUCUUUAAGCUUAUUUUUUGUGGUUUUAUUACAAAGAAAAAACGAGUUUUUGCCGAACAAAACCUAAAAAGUUUCUAAAAAAAUUAAAAAUAUAUUUUCUUUUUUUUCUUGCAUAUGGCUAAAAAUACUUAAGUUAUUUAAGUAAUUUUAAAAAAAUCUCAAAAACUUUGACAUGUUUUUUUUUAAAAAAUAUUGCAUGGAUUUUACAAUAAGUUUGUAAAUUUCUAAAGAAUUUUGGCCUACAUUUCAAAAAUACCAAAAAAAUUUAUUUUUACUCUUUAUAUUUCAUAGAAAGACAAUUUUUUUUGUUGGCAUUAGAACGACUAGAUUUUUAAUAUGUUAAGAUAAUGAUCUCCUUACUAAGGAGGAUUUUUUUCUUAGUUUAUAUCAGACAAAUAAACAAUACAGCUUAUCUUAAGUAAGGCUUAUUAGGGUUGCUAAUACCUUUCUUUUACGCAAUCAGUUUCCUUUCCUAAACUAUGAGAUCAAUUAAGAUUUUUAGUGACCAAAAUACUAAGUGAUGAUUCUUUUUUUUUUUACUGAUAAAUAACAAAAAAUUAUUAUUUUCACCUACAUGAUUCCCGACUAUCUUAAUCUAGAAAGAUAAUCAUGGUGACAACGCACACACAUGCAACAAAGAUCUCUAUCAAACUUGGACGUUAUGAAUUCAUUAUGAAUUUAUUUGACACCCAUAGCAUAAAUUUAUAUUUGAUAUCCAGCUAUCUAAACAAAAACAAUUCCUCUUAUUCACUAAUUGCCUAUACAAAUAAUUAUGAAAUGUUAAGUAAAUUGAUUAUAUAAUGUUGUGUUGUGAAAAAAAAAAAAAGGAACACACACCUUUUUUUUAUUUAAAAUCGUGGGGGGGGGGGGAAUAUUUAUGAAGUUCUUAGGGGACUAAAUUAUUUUACUUAAUAUAGUUAUGCUCCUCGUGCGCAAACAAGGCGAGUUUUAGCCACAUGCCAACCUCGUAGCAAAAGGUCCAAACUUUUGAUACAUUCAUUAUUGUCAAUAAUUAUAAAAUAACUGCCACAAAAAUAAAGAAAAUGUCGAAAGCCCGCAACAUGUGGAAACCAUCAUGCAUGCCAUGUCAAAGAACUCUGCACCGAAAGUUGCGCGCUGUAAUGUGCUGGGAUGGUAGCUGCAUGUUGAAGUCAGAAAUGGCAGCAAGUCAGGUGAUCAAAAUUGUUGAUAAAGAGAGGAGGUAGCUGCCAUCCUUCCCCCAAUCUUGCACUAUAAAUAGAGCUGUAAUUGUGCAGCAAAAGGUACGCCAAGAGUGAGAGAAACAAGCAGCACAGGAGAGCCAAUUGUGAGGGGAGAAAUUUGCAUAAUAAGUGAGACAGGAGAUUUGCAUUUGUGUGUAAGAGAGUUGUGUAAACACCAUUUGUAAUUCUCCAUAUUUAAAAUAGUGUUUUCCCGCUGCCCGUGUACAUGGGAGAUUUGCCAAACCACAUAAAUUUGUUUUGUCUCUGUGUGUGAAUUAUUCUUAUUGUUUUUUAAAAUAUUUUUAUAAAAUAAAGUUUUAGCCAUGUUUACGAACAACACAUUAAACUUCUGCUGUGUAAUAGCAGUAAAAUAAAUCAUAAAAGGUAAAAAAAAAAAAAAAUACAAGUUUCUUAUUAAUUAAUGGAAAUAAAACCUGAGAAUUCCUUGAAAAUUGAUAUAUCAAGAGUUAAUUAGGGCUAGUUGGAUCAAUCUUUAUAUAUAUAAUACAAUUGAUAUAUUGAUUAUUGAGACAAAAUACAGCUAGUUCAGGAUGUUAGAGAAUAAUAUAAAUCAUAUUCUGGAACCUCACCUACAAGCUUAAGCUUUUGGGUUGAGAUGGUGUUUUGACAUGGUAUCAGAGCCUCGAUGACCAAACGGUCACAAGUUCAAAUCUCACCAUCCCUAUUUAUUUAAUAAAAAUUAAGCACAAGGUAAUGUGAGCCUGUGUAAGGUUCAAGCCCAAAGAGCUUUUACUUGAGGGGGUGUAUUAGAGAAAUUUCUUCCCUUGCUUAUUCUCUCCUUUCUUCUAUUAUGAAUACCAUCACAGUCAUGAACUUCUUAGUUUAGACAAACUCUACACACCCUAUUGCUAGAUCAAAAGAACCAGUUGACCCACUGGAAAGAUGUGCGAAAGCUAGCUCUUAAUUUGAAGUGAGAUUUUAACUGACGACCAAGAUACCGAAACAAAGGGAACCAGGAUGUUAGCAGUUGUAGCAUUGCUGUGUCGUACUGCUUUUUUUUUAUAUUGUUUUUAUAAGCAAACAAGAUUAAGCCAAGAGAUGGCAAAAUAAGCAACCCAAAGGGUCACCAUGAAAAACAGAUACAGCAGAAAAAAAUGAAGGAACCCAAGCAAACAAACUAGCCCAGGAAAUGACUAGACUAUAAUUUUGAAACAAUCGAAUCUCCAGCCUCAGCCAUUUCCUUCUCCACAAUACCAAUAGCAAUCGGCUUCUUAAGGAUUAGCUCUGUAUGGCUCCCAGAAGUUUAAUCAGUUCGACAGAAUCUUAAGAAAUAUUUGUUGGAAUUAAUUUUGUAGUUUUCACCCAAAUUGUUUUUAGUUCUUCUAGUUCUCCUAAGUAUAUGGAUGUAAUUAUUAAAAAUAUAUUUAUCUUUUAAGUCUCUUGAAUUAUUUUAAAUUAGUAUAAAUAUAUGUUUAGAGUAUUGUAAAUUUAAAUCCAAGUUUAUAAGGACUUUCUUUUUUAAAAGAGUAAUGUAAUAUAAAUGAGAUUGGUUUUUCACCAUGCUUUCUAUGUUUUCAUUUUUACUUUUCUGCUUCAAAUAUUUCUAGCAAUAUUCUGCAACUCCCAAAGCGUCAACACUGAAUUCAAAGUUCCCAUAGCUUAUUUCCAUGAAUCCAAAAUGAGAUCUUAAAUGAGAGAUCUCCAAUGUAGCUCUAGUAGUUCAUCCCAGCACAAACAUCAUAGCAUCAACGACAUACAUAAGACAAUAACAAGAAGAAUCCCCCGGUUGUCUAGAGGUGGUCAUGGACACUUGUCAAAAGAAACAGUGCUUUCAGCCUCAUCGGGAGGCAUCUUUGGUAACCUUUCCUGUCCUCUGAGGUAUGAGACCUCUUGAGAACUACUAUCUCUCCCCCUUCUAGUGGAGGAAGGUUGAGAAGCGUCUCUCUCGAAUCUAGGGUCUAUUUUUAUGGUCGAAGAUCCUCGACUAAAGAUUCCAGUUUCAGGUCUGAAACUGGAAUUUCAUUUAUGAGACGCAUUUUUUUUCUUUUUUAGAAGUCAUUCUUAAAAAUGUUUAAGUUUUUGAAAAAUAGGAAAAAAGAUGAAGAUUAUUUUGUUUAUCUAAAGGAAAACUCCUUUGCGAAGAGACUUGCUCUCGUAUGCUUUCAUUUUAAGACUUCUAAAUCAAGGAAGGCAGAGGAAAAUUUUGGCAAAGGUAAAAGUAGAAUUGAAGAGAAAAAAGGUUUCGAUACAAGCCACUACCUUCUACUCCCUGUUGGGCUAUUUCCAGAACUCAAUCACACACAAUUUACGUGGUUCGGCAACUUGCCUACUCCACGGAGCUACUGGUUUGUAUUAAUGAAGCUUACAAACAAUACAAACAAAGGAGGAGGAGAUAAAACUCUCUCAACUCAACUCUACUCUCUCAAGCUCUCUCUAUUCUUCUCUGUUCUCUCUUCUCUCUGUGUUUCUCACGCUGCUCUCUCUGUGUUCUUCAUACACACACAGCUAUACAUAUACAAUUGAUGAUUGAAGGGGCAUGAUUGAUGCCCACCGUUGCCUCCACUUUGUGUCCUCCACCAUGUGCCAAGUGGGAGAUUAGGUAUUCCCACUUGCAUAUGGUGGGACAUUGUUUGUCUCCACUAACUAACAAUCUCCCACUUGGAGACAAACAAUGAAAUCAUCAUUUAUCCUUGAAGACCAACUGAAGUUUUACACAACUUCAGUUUAUCAAGUGUAACUCCUUUGGUUAACAUGUCAGCUGGAUUCUUGCUUCCACAGACCUUUUCUAGCAUUAGUUGCUCGUCAUCCAGCAGUUGUCGGAUGAAGUGAUAUUUGAUCUGAAUAUGCUUCGUCCUGGAGUGAAAUGCUGGAUUCUUGGCAAGGAAGAUUGCACUCUGACUGUCGCUAUACAAAGUACCUUUUCCAUUCAACUUGCCCAAUUCCUUCAGGAAACUCUGCAACCAUACUAUCUCUUUUGCAGAUUCUGAGACUGCAACAUAUUCAGCUUCUGUUGUUGAAAGAGCAACGAUCUUUUGCAAGGUAGAACUCCAGGAAACAGCAGUACCUCCUAGAGUAUAAACAUAUCCUGUAGUGCUCUUUCUGCUAUCAACAUCUCCUGCUAGAUCAACAUCUACAAAACCUUCAAGUUUCAAACCACCAGCUGUGAAACUGAGACAAGUUUCCGAGGAACCUUUUAAGUACCUCAUGAUCCAUUUGACCGCCUCCCAAUGCUGCUUUCCAGGAUUGCUCAUAUAUCGGCUUACAACUCCCACUGCAUGGGCAAUGUCUGGUCUGGUACAGACCAUAGCAUACAUCAAAGAGCCGAUAGCUGAGGCGUAUGGAAUCUUAUCCAUGUAUCCACUUUCUAGCUCAGUUUUUGGUGACUGAUCUUUGCUGAGCUUGAAAUGAUUCCCCAGUGGUGUACUUACUGGUUUAGUAUUAUCCAUACUAAACCUGCUGAGAACCUUCUUGACAUACUCUGUUUGUGAAAGCUUUAGUACGCCUUUGUCUUUAUCUCUGAAGAUUCUCAUGCCAAGUAUUUGUUUAGCAGCUCCCAGAUCCUUCAUUUCAAACUGUUUUGACAACUGCUGUUUCAGCUUAUCAAUCUCCUCAAUGCUGGAUCCUGCAAUCAACAUAUCAUCAACAUAUAAUAGUAGAAUGAUGUAGGAGUUGUCAAAAUGUUUGACAUAGCAACAAUGAUCAGCUUGGCAUCUUGUAUACCCGGAACUGCACAUGAAGUUGUCAAACUUCUUGUACCACUGUCUUGGAGCUUGCUUCAAACCGUAUAGGCUUUUCUGUAGCUUGCAGACUUGAUUCUCCUUUCCUUGCAUUGCAAACCCUUCUGGCUGUUGCAUGUAAAUAUCUUCCUCCAAGUCACCAUGAAGGAAUGCUGUUUUUACAUCUAACUGUUCAAGAUGUAAAUUUUCUGCAGCUACUAUCCCCAGAACAACUCUGAUUGUUGUGAGCUUCACAACUGGAGAAAAUAUCUCAGAGUAGUCAAUGCCUUUCUUUUGUUGAAACCCUUUGACAACAAGUCUUGCCUUGAACCGUUUACUUCCGUCAUGCUCAGUCUUCACUCUGUAAACCCACUUGUUUUGUAAAGCCUUCUUUCCUUCAGGCAGUGUGGUUAGCUCCCAAGUCUUGUUCUUCAGCAACGAACUCAUCUCAUCCUUCAUGGCUAACUCCCACUUGCUUGAGUUUCCAUCUUGUAAGGAUUCUUCAUAAGUUAGCGGUUCACCACCAUCUGUCAACAAAAUGUAAUUCAGUAAAAGUGUGAACCGUUGCGGGGGCUUUAUCGUCCUCGAAGACCUGCGAACAGCUGGUUCAAUUUGCUCCGCAUCUUCUUGUGUAGUAGCGGGUACAGAUAUGCUUGAGUCUUCUUGUAAAGACUCUUGAUUGUUGUUCUGCUCAGUAACAUCGGGAAGGCCUUCUAAUCUUAUGAAUUCAGAUUCUUGUGGCCUUGUAUCUGAAUCAGCCUUAUCUGUUUCUGCACUUGAUCUGGCUUUGUACAGAACUUUCUCAUUGAAGAUCACGUUCCUGCUUCUGAUAAUCUUUCUAUUCUGAUCAUCCCAGAACCGAUAUCCAAAUUCUUCAUCUCCAUAGCCGAUGAAGAAACAUUUCUUGGAUUUGGCAUCCAACUUGUUGCGAGCAUCAGAAUCUAUAUGAACAUAGGAAACACACCCAAAGACCUUUAAAUGAGAGAGUUGUACCUCUUUUCCUCUCCAUACUUCCUCGGGCAGUCUGAACUCCAAAGGAACUGAUGGUCCACGGUUGAUCAAGUAAACUGCGGUAUGAACUGCGUCGGCCCAGAAUGUUUGAGGUAACCCUGAAUGCAACCUCAUGCUUCUAGCUCGUUCAUUGAUGGUCAUGUUCAUCCGUUCAGCAACGCCAUUCUGUUGCGGUGUGCCUGGAACGGUCUUUUCCAUUCUGAUACCAUUAACAGCACAAUACUCUUUGAAACCUCCAUCAAUGUAUUCUCCUCCGUUAUCGGAUCUCAAGCAUUUCAACUUCAGACCUGAUUCAGUCUCAACCAUAGCCUUCCACUUCUUGAAUGUUUCAAACACAUCAGAUUUAUUUUUCAGAAAGUAAACCCAUACCUUCCUGCUGAAAUCAUCAAUGAAAGUCACGUAAUACCGAGAACCUCCAAGAGAUGCUACUGGAGACGGUCCCCAUAAAUCUGUGUGUACCAGCUCUAGCUUUCUUGGUCUUAAGGUCCUGCCAACCUUCAAGAAACUGAGCUUUUUCUGUUUUCCAAGAACACAGCUUUCACAAAUGUCUAGAUCGACAUUUUUUAAUUCUGCCAGCUUUCCCUUCGACUGAAGUAUCUUCAUCCCCUUUUGACUCAUAUGGCCGAGUCUACAGUGCCAUAGAUGUGCUUGAUUUUCUGCUUCAGUAGAGGCAAUAAUGUCUGCAAAUCUUGUGGUCAUAUACAGGGUGCCGGUUUUCUUUCCACGAGCCAAAACCAUUGCUCCCUUUGAUACCUUCCACAUACCUCCAGAAAAAAGGAUUGAAUGACCACUAUCAUCAAGUUGUCCGACCGAGAUCAGCUUCUUCUUUAGAUCAGGAACAUGCCUUACAUUUUGCAAGGUCCAUAUAGAUCCAUUCAUUGUCUUGAUUUGUACAUCUCCUAAACCCACAAUAUCCAAUGGUUGUCCAUCGGCCAGAUAGACUACACCGUGAUCUCCAGCAAUAUAGUUUUGCAUCAUUUCAUGGUGUGGUGUACAGUGAAAUGAAGCACCAGAAUCAAGAACCCAAUCAUCAACAGGACUAUGCACAGCAAGAAUCAAAGCAUCUUGCACCUCAUUUGUGGUAGCGUUUGCAGAGUCAGCUUCAGGUUUUUUUGGUUUUGUGCAAUUCCUCAUGAAAUGACCAGGUUUGCCACAAUUCCAACAUUCAACCUGCUUUCUGGGUCCAAACUUGCUUUUACUUCUAUAUCUUGAUUUUGAUCUGCCUCUGGAUAAGCCUCUAUCAUGUCUCCUCCCUCGAGUGUUGAUGUUGAGAGCUGAUCCUGAGCUUGAACUUUCACCCGAGUCUUUCCUUCGCACUUCUUCAGCCAAAAUCAAGUCUCGAAUGUCAUCAUACUUCAGUUUGGAUUUUCCAACUGAAUUGCUCACGGCUGUCCUCAUGCCUUCCCAACUGCUUGGAAGUGAAGCUAGCAAGAUGAGUGCACGAAUCUCAUCAUCAAACUCAAUCUCAACAAAUGAUAAUUGAUUUGUGAUGGUAUUAAAGUUAUUGAGGUGUUGUGUCACAGAAGUGUUUUCGACCAUCUUCAAGUUGAACAACUUUUUCAUCAGGUGCACUUUAUUAUUUGCUGAUGGCUUCUCAUACAUCCCAGACAAGGCUUCCAUCAAUCUUGCAGUGGAUCUUUCUUUCGUAACAUUGUGAGCAACUCUUCUUGAUAAGGAUAACCGGACAAUGCCCAGAACUUGUCUAUCAAGAAGUAGCCAAUCUUCUUCUUGCAUAUUUUCUGGUUUACUCCCCAACAAGGGAAGAUGAAGUUUCUUCCCAUAUAGAUAAUCCUCAAUUUGCAUUUUCCAGUAUCCAAAAUCUGUCCCGUCAAAUUUUUCAAUUCCAGCUGCUUUUAUUUCAUCUGCCAUUUUUACUACUUCUCCGAUUCGAAUUUCCCAAAUCUGACCUUACAGAUGUGUCCGGAACAGCCGAAAACCUUGGAAAUGACAAUGAGAUCACCCCAAUCGGACUUCGGAUGGCUCAGAUUUUAGCAAUCAAAGUUUUGAAUUAACGGACGGUGCAGAUGCAGCCGCGUGUCAACCAGAGUACCGCCUGCGUCGCACCGGAUCAAAACCUAAGUAGCGGUUCUGAUGAAGCCACGUGUCAGCAGAUUAGGUCCUGCGUCACACCGUAUCAAAACUCAGUAACGGUUAUGAUGAAGCCACGUGUCAGAAGAUGAUGGCCUGAGUCACACUGGAUCAAUACUCAAUAGUGGUCCUGAUUUAACCACGUGUCAACUGAUUGGAUCCUGCGUCGUACUGGAUCAAAACCCCUCCACGUGUCAGAAUAUCAGCUUCUGCGACACAUCGGAACAAAACUCAGCGAUGACGUGGCAGGUGACGUGGCAGGUGACGCGGACGUUGACCGUACGGCUGUGCUGACGUGGCGGGUCAGCCCGACCCGUUUUGCAGAAGCCGGGCGAAGAUGGAGCGUGGCGCGCGUACGGCGCGUUGGUGCGCGUGGGCAGUCUGGGCGUCGGCGCGUGUGGGCGCGUGCGGGCAUGCAGGACGUCGGUUCUUCGCCGAGUUUGCAACAGUGGAUUCGUCCGGUUGUCCUCUACACGAUGGUAUGUUCAAAAACACAUUUGGAGAACUUUGAUUUUUGAGUUUGGAUCAAACACCCUCUUUGUCAAGAACAAGCUCUGAUACCAGUUGUUGGGCUAUUUCCAGAACUCAAUCACACACAAUUUACGUGGUUCGGCAACUUGCCUACUCCACGGAGCUACUGGUUUGUAUUAAUGAAGCUUACAAACAAUACAAACAAAGGAGGAGGAGAUAAAACUCUCUCAACUCAACUCUACUCUCUCAAGCUCUCUCUAUUCUUCUCUGUUCUCUCUUCUCUCUGUGUUUCUCACGCUGCUCUCUCUGUGUUCUUCAUACACACACAGCUAUACAUAUACAAUUGAUGAUUGAAGGGGCAUGAUUGAUGCCCACCGUUGCCUCCACUUUGUGUCCUCCACCAUGUGCCAAGUGGGAGAUUAGGUAUUCCCACUUGCAUAUGGUGGGACAUUGUUUGUCUCCACUAACUAACACUCCCGGCAAUGAAUGAAAAACAGGUGACAUCACAUAUAAAUUUAGAAAGGUUAACCAUCUAGGUGGUGGUCCAGUGGUAAGAGUUUGAGAUUAAGAUGUUUGCUCCCUCUAUGGUUUUAGGUUCGGGCCCUGUGGUUGCUCAUAUGAUGACCACUGAAGGCUUACAUGGUCGUUAACUUCAGGGCCCGUGGGAUUAGUCGAGGUGCUCGCAAGCUGGCCCGGACACCCACGUUAAACUAAAAAAAAAAAAAAAGUUAAAUGUCUACUACAUUAAUUACACGUUGUCAGCUAGUCUUUUCAAAGAAUUUGUUUCGCCUUCCUCAAGACACCUUUUCUAAUCAGCACUAGGUUCAGAAAACUCUUCCCUAAAAAAAAAAACAGUACACCACCUCGCCAGUUGUCUCUCAAGAUACCUUUUAAAGAAAGUACGAGAUGACAUGCCCGCGCGCUGCCGCUGGCUUAUAAAACAAAUGUAUUUAAUAGUGUUAUAAUUGUGAACCAGCGCUAGAUAAGUAAUAGAAAUUAAAGGCAUGAUGGAGCAAAUAUUUCAUGACGAAAAAAAAAGUUGUGUUGGUGAUCCAAAACUUAGAGAUCGAACAAAAUGAUUUGUAGUAAUUUACAGUGUUUUGUGAGGAAAGAUACAGUGUUUUCGCCACAUGAUUUAACUUUUCAGUUAAUAAAAAGAAAAAAAAUUACAAAGCUAAAUUCUCUACCAACUUAAUAUUAAAAAAAAACCAACAAAGAUAAUUUUGGAAGGAAAAAACCAAUGAGAAAAAACAUUGUAGCAAUUGACAAUGUUUUGUGAGGAAAACUAUAACGCUUUUCCCAAUAAAAUAAAAGAAAAAACAAUUUAGAGAAAUAUUAUAGCAAUCCACAGUGUUUUGUGAGAAAAACUACAACUCUUUCCUCAUAUGAUUUAGUUUUAUUGUAAUUAUAAUUCUUAACCAACUCAAUAUUAAAAACAAAUCGACAAAGAUAAUUUUGAAAAAAAUCAUAAAAAAUCACAUGGAAAAACACUGCAACAAUUCACAGUGUUUUAAAGAAAAAAAAUAUAAAGCUAAAUUUUUAAUCAGCUCAAUAUUAAAAAAAAAAUCGACAGAGAGAAUUUAAGAAAAAAAAUAACAAAACAAACACCAAAAAAAGGAAAAAAAAUCAUGUUGAAAACACUGUAGCAAUUCACAGUGUUUUGUGAUGAAAGCUACAGUGCUUCUCCACAUGAUUUAGCCUUAUUUGUAAUGAUUUGUAAUUGUAAUUCACAAACAACUUAAUAUUAAAAAAAUAAAAUUGAAAAGGAUAAUUUGAAAAAAAAUUAUAAAAAAAACUAUGUGGGAAAAAACACUGUAGCAAAUGAACAGUAAUUUUCAAAAUAAGUUACAGUGUUUUCCUCACAUAUUGUAACUGUAAUUUUUAACCAGCUCAAUAUUAAAAAAUAAAAUAAAAAAAGAUAAUUUUGGAGACAAAAAAAAUAAUGUGGAGAAACACUGUAGCAAUCAACAAUGUUUUAAAGAAAAAAAAUUACAAAACCAAAUUCUCAAUCAGCUCAAUAUUAAAAAAAAUAGACAAAUAUAAUUUUGAAAAAUAAAGAAAUAAAAUAGAAAAACUAAGUGGAAAACAUCACAGCAAUCCACAGUAUUUUAAAGAAAAAAAUUACAAAGCAAAAAUUUUAACCAGGUCAAUAUUUAAAAGGUAAAAUCAACAAAAAUAAUUUAAAAAAAAAUAAAUGAAAAAAUAAGAAAAAAUAAGAAAGUUGAACAAAAACAUUUGAAAAAAAAAACGAAAAAAAAAAGAUAGGGAAAAGUAAUAAAUAAAAAAAACGAAAAAAAAAAGGGAAGGGAAAAAAAAAAGAAGGAGAAAAAUCAUUGUGGAUUACUGUUGUAAUUCACAGUAUUUUGUGUGUGGGGGAACAGUAAAUCCCCCACACGGUUUAGUAUAUUAGUUAAUAUUGGGUAUUUUAGUAGUUCUUAUAAUUAUAGUUUGAAAAAAAUUAUUUUAUAAAAAGUAAUUUUGGUUGAGGUUGAUUUGAUAUUUAUAUAUAUUUGGUUAAAAUUGUUGUUGAAAUUGAAGAUGAACAAAAAGUAGUUUAAUGUAUUUGGUUAAGAAUGCUUUUGAAUUGAGGUUAUAAAAUAAUUUUAAAAAAUAUAUAUUAAUAUUGAUGGUUUUUAAUUUAAAUAUUGUAGAUUUAACUAUUGUUAUUAUAUCAUGAAAUAAAUAAUACUUUAUAUAAAAUAUUUUUUAUUGUUCAAUUAAACUAUCUACAAUUCCAUUAGGUAUGAAAUACAUCCAACAAGGACUACAGUUUCCUUAGUUUCUUAAGUGCGCAACAACAUCAGGUAAAAUAUAAUCAGAAACAAAAUUGGGAUUGCGAUCAAAUUCUGCAAAUGCCACGUCAUCAAUAAAACACAAUUAAAAAUAAAAAAAAUAUUUUUUUUACUGAAUCGGACCCAGUUCUGCCGGAACAGUAGAGACAUGCUCCACUGUUCAUGUGAACAGUGGAGUCACUCUCCACGACUGAAAACAUCAUUGUGUUGCUUUAAGUGAUCCUGCAUUUUCAACGUAGAAAUUGAUGGAGCCCAUGCAUAGUGAAUUGUGUUUUCAUUCGUUACCAAACAUUUGUUUCCCGUGGUUGGCUUCAAACGCAGAAGCAACCAUGGAAAUAAACGGUCUCUUUAUGCAUUAUAUUUUGACUCAAUGUUUUUACAUUAAAAAAAAAGGUUAUCAAAGCUAAUAUACUUGGUCCAGUAGUUAGUUGGACUAAGGUAACAUAAGUCUGUCAAGUUGUUAGAAUUAAUAUACUUAGAUAUAACCAUCAGCUGAAUCUAAUGUAACAUGAAUCUAACAAGUUGCCGAACCCAAUACAUUUGGGUUUACCUGUCAGAUGAAUCCAAGGUAACAUAAGUCUGGCAAGCUAUCAGACUGAACAUACUUAAGUUCGGACAUCCACUAAACCUAAGGUGUAAUGAUUUUCUAUAAACACCUAUGCUUUUUUCAUCUGAGUUUGGCUAACAGCCAGGUUCAAUUGGUCUUAAAAAUUUAGGACUAUGGAGCUUUAUUAUAGAAUAAUAACAUGUCCUACUCAGGUCCAAAAAGUUUUUCGAAGAUCUAUCAUAUUUUCAAUCUCAUUAAUUAUAUGUGAUGAAUAUUUUUCCUUCAUUAAUACUGUGGUGAAUAGGGAAGAUAUAGACAUUGAUGAUGUGCUCGUCAAGAAAAAAAGAAAAUUCAAAUGCUUUUAAGAAAAUUAUGUGUUUAACUUUUGGUGUUCAAACUUCUCAUCAUCAUUUUCAAAACCACCAAUCAUCCACCAUGCGUUGUUCUUUAAAGUCAUCAUCCACCAUGAAAAACCACCAAUCAUCCACCAUGAAAAACCACCAAUCAUCUUGUCCAAAACAAAAAUGCCCCACUCAGCAACUGCAUUCUGCAUAGAUCCAAAACCCGACAUCUAGUUGCCAGUCUUUUAACUUCAACUUUGGUCCAAAUUCAAAGUACGUUUUUCUUGUAGCUGUCAAGAAGCUAAUUGACAAUAUAGGAAUUGACUACAUUGACAAGUAUCCAAAUUCAACUUUGCUCUUGAAUUUUUUAUUUGAUUACGUGGCAAUAAAAAAGGAUUUUUGUAAAAAAAUAAUAAUUUAAAUAUUAUAAAAAAAUGUGAUAUGUUAGUAUGAAUUCUAUUUUCCUUAUUAAUGUAUUUUCUUUAAAAAAAAAUAUUGUUUUUGGCAAUUUUGUUUAUUGCAUAAAAAACUAAAAUCAAUCAAAAUCAAUAUAUAUAUAAAAAUAACUAUUAAGAAUAAGGGGCUCUUUCACAAGCAUCCUCACUUCUUCCCUUUUAAGGUUAUUAUCAAUUUCCAUAGCAACUCCUUAUUCAUUGCUACCAUAUCUACAGUUCAUUGCUUGAUCAGCAAAGAAGGGGCAACACAACAUUGGCACACCAGUAGCUGGAGGGGACCAAUGGAAUAAACCCUAGAUAAUACAGUGCAGAGGGCAUCCUAAACUUCUGACUCCAAUGCAUCAAAAGAGUGAAAAUUAAGCAAUUGCAUGAGCUUUAGUAGGAGUUUCAACUGCUCCCAUGGCAAAGUGAAAUAAAAAAUCAUCUGGAUCUGUUGUUUGAAUAGAUAAAAUUUUUUUUUCAGACGGACGCCUUUCAUACCUGGAACCCUGUCUAUAUUAGUGUCAAGAUUUCUUAGAUAGCUCCUAUCUACAGGAUCAUUGAUCUAACUCAUAUAUUGUGCAGGAUCAUUGAUAUAACUCAUGUAUCAUGCACUAUUUAAUAACUUAUGAAGUAUUUUAAAUUGACAUGCAUAUCACAUGAAUAAAGAGACUUCCUCCUUUUAUUGACUUUCUAAGCUCGGAUAUUAGGGCCAGUACUAUUGAAAAGAAUUUGAUAGAGGUCUUAAAAUUCAGACCAUCAACUUUUCAAAUUGCAUAAAAAAUAAUAAUUCAAGCCAUAAUGAACUCUAAUGUAAAAACAAAAGGGUACAAAGAACCUUAAAAAUUCAACGGAGCUUGCGUGAAAAUUAUUCGAGGUCAAUCUUCAUAUUAAGCUCCGUCGUUUAUUCUUAUUAUUACACACAGCAUGCAAACCUUCAAAAACAAAAAAACUACUGAUCAUGGGCUGAUUCGUGUUUUAUUCAUAGAGUCACGAUUUCAUGAUGAUGUCCACAGUUCCUUUACGCAUCAUUGCCCAUCACAGCAUACGCCUUAGGCACGAGGCAGAGAGCGUCCCUCGUAUGCAUAGCAAGACCGGGUUGCGUAUGAUCAACGUCUAUGUCUUCCCUCUUCAUCCCACCAGGCAUUUCCCAGUCAAAUUUGUAGAGAAGAUUAGAAAGUGAAAGCUCCACGGUGGCAAUUCCCAUAUAUAUACCAGGACAAAGUCUUCGACCCGCACCAAAUGGUAUCAGCUCAAAAUCUUGUCCUUUCAAAUCAAUAGAACUGCCCAAGAACCUAUCAGGAAUGAACACAUACGGGUUCUCCCAAACUUCUGUGUCCCUUCCAAUAGCCCACGCAUUGACGUAAACUAAGGUCUUGGCUGGUAUUUCGUACCCACCUAUGGUACACUCCGUAGUUGUUUCUCUUGGGACUAGUAGUGGUGCUGUUGGUUGCAAUCUCAUGGUCUCUUUAACCACAGCUUUAAGGUAAGGCAAUUGUUGAACAUCAUCUUCGUACACAAAACCUUUAUCUCCUAUCACCUUUCGAACUUCUUCUUGAGCUUUUCUCAUUGCUUCAGGUUUUUUCAUUAGAAGGCUCAUGGCCCAGAUCACAGUAGCAGCAGCUGUAUCAGUCCCACCAACAAAUAUGUUCUGCAAGGAUCAGGAAAAUAAAAUAAAAUGUAAGGUUAUUGAUAUUUGAAACCAUUUACAAUAUUCAAAUCCAAAUCAUUUUGCUUGGGAAAUGAAAAUUAAAAGGCCGAAUUU